GAUGAACGCUGGCGGCGUGCCUAAUACAUGCAAGUCGAGCGAACAGACGAGGAGCUUGCUCCUCUGACGUUAGCGGCGGACGGGUGAGUAACACGUGGAUAACCUACCUAUAAGACUGGGAUAACUUCGGGAAACCGGAGCUAAUACCGGAUAAUAUAUUGAACCGCAUGGUUCAAUAGUGAAAGACGGUUUUGCUGUCACCUAUAGAUGGAUCCGCGCCGCAUUAGCUAGUUGGUAAGGUAACGGCUUACCAAGGCAACGAUGCGUAGCCGACCUGAGAGGGUGAUCGGCCACACUGGAACUGAGACACGGUCCAGACUCCUACGGGAGGCAGCAGUAGGGAAUCUUCCGCAAUGGGCGAAAGCCUGACGGAGCAACGCCGCGUGAGUGAUGAAGGUCUUCGGAUCGUAAAACUCUGUUAUUAGGGAAGAACAAAUGUGUAAGUAACGAUGCACGUCUUGACGGUACCUAAUCAGAAAGCCACGGCUAACUACGU
rnacentral:rRNA from 1 species